UUCUUUUUUCUAUAUAGUCAUAAUCAUGACGGUUGAUAACAUUUUUUUUUUUAAAUCAUUUGUGGUUUCAUUGUUUUAGGAAUUUACUACUAAAAUGGUUACAUGUUCAAUUAAAUGCCUCGUAGAAACACGGUGUUAAUUAUGUAAAAUGGUCGUGUUCUUGUUUCAUUGGUGUAGCUUAAGAAAGAAAAUUUAUGGUUGAUAGCAGUGGAGCGAAGUCGUACGUAGUAAAAAAUUCAUUGAUCCAUCAAGUAGAGUUAUUGGUUUGACGUUGAAUCCUCAUCUUGUUCAGAACAGGGCCCUUCAUUUAAUAAGUUUGUCUUAAAUUCUUACUGCUUUAUGUUUUGUCUAAUUCUUUUUAAUUUACAUUGUUGUUGAAUAUGAUUUGGAGAUUGUGGCCUAACUAGUUUAACAUUGUUUGUUAAAACCCUAUAGGACAGUGUAUGAACAAGUCAGUGGCAUGAAGAUUCAAAGAUGCUAAAUGUUUUUCAAUGUUUCUUAUUUAAGAGUAAUAAUAAUGAUACUACUGCAUAAUCAAGUGGAAACUUUAAGUCACUUUAAAAUUACUCACAUAUUACAAUUUAUAAUAUAUUGCAUCUGAUAUAAUGAGAAGUAAAAACUGAUCCUGUAGCUGAUGAAAAUCCAACAUACAUGCUAUUGUUAAGAAUUGGAGAAAGAUCUUUGGUAAAUGGCAUCAAAGGUAGUUUUGGUUUAUCAACAUCAAUGGGAGCUAAAGUAACAUCAAUCUUCUUUUUUUCACCAUCAUAUUCAAUCCAUACCUACAUAGGAUAGCCACAGAUAAGGGUCAAAUUCUUGAGUUGACCAUUAUUAUCAUAAUAUCUUGCAAGAGUUGAAUUAAUUGAUUUCAAAUCAUUGAUAUCAAUACCAACAUGGUUAUCAUUGAUAUCACCAAACUCACUAUUACAAAUAGUAUCAAAUUCAACACCAAAACUCUGGUUGAUAUUGUUUCCAUGGUUGGACUUGUCAAAGAGACCGAAGUACUGACUUGGUAGUGAAUUUCGCAACCCUUUUGUUGGAGAAACAAUCUGAUAGAAAAUCACGUUUGGGGUACGCUCGUCUUGAAGGAGAAAUGAAACAAAAGUCAAAUGAAGAGAGAAUACCCCGUUUUCAGUUGUGGAAAGCUGCCCAUGUGAAUAAGGAUGGAGAUAUUGACAAUGAUAAUGUUCAAAAAAUUAUGGAUAAAUUUGAGUCAUUAACACAAUCUUUAACUGAAGAAGAGAAAGGAGAAGACUUUACUCGUAACAACAUAUUAUUUCAGGUAUUAGAUCUUCCAGAGUACUAUGGGCGUGUGAGGAGGGAUGGUUUUGGAGUAAGUUCUAAAGACAUAUUUCCACGUCAAGCUCUGCCUACAUAAGAAUACAUUGAUAAAAUUUAUCUCAUGUUCAAUACAUUCACUAAGAGAUUGAAGACACUAGAGAGUGAGAAACUAGAGAGAUAGAAAAGAAAGAGAGGCCACAAGAUGAUGAAAUAUUAGAGAGACAUGAAUCUGAAACGUGGUUGAGAGGCAACAGGCCAAAGAAGUGGGAAGAAUGCAAUCAAUAGAUGAAAUUCUAGAGAGCCAACAUACUGAAGUGGGAGGGAGGCGAUCACUUGAUAAAGUUGUAGAGACAUGACAUCCUAGUGACAAUGAUUCUUGCAACCGUGGUGUAGUUAACAACAUUCCGAAGGGCAUCUCUUCUAUCAAUAUAUAUCUAUCAUCUCCAAUAUAUGUCAACUAUAUCUUCAUCUUGAAGCCUCUUGGUAUAAGUACAUUGAUGUAACUGUCUGUGUGUAUAAAUGAAAAUGUUUCUUCGUCAUUUUAAUUUUGUAUCUUGACUUAUAUGAUUACUGAUAUUUAAAAUUGUUAUUUUUCAUUUCAAGGUACUUUUAUGAAAAGUUCAU